GAUGAACGCUAGCGGGAGGCCUAACACAUGCAAGCCGAGCGGUAUUGUUUCUUCUGAAAUGAGAGAUCGGCGUACGGGUGCGGAACACAUGUGCAACCUGCCUUUAUCUGGGGGAUAGCCUUUCUAAAGGAAGAUUAAUACUCCAUAACAUAUUGAUUGCGCGAUCAAUUAAUAUUGAAAGCUCCGGCGGAUAGAGAUGGGCACGCCCAAGAUUAGCUAGUUGGUGAGGUAACGGCUCACCAAAGCGAUGAUCUUUAGGGGGCCUGAGAGGGUGAUCCCCCACACUGGUACUGAGACACGGACCAGACUCCUACCGGAGGCAGCAGUGAGGAAUAUUGGUCAAUGGGUGCAAGCCUGAACCAGCCAUCCCGCGUGAAGGACGACUGCCCUAUGGGUUGUAAACUUCUUUUGUAUAGGGAUAAACCUACCCUCGUGAGGGUAGCUGAAGGUACUAUACGAAUAAGCAUCCGGCUAACUCCGUGCCAGCAGAUGCGGUAAUACGGAGGGUGCAAGCGUUAUCCGGAUUUAUUGGGUUUAAAGGGUCCGUAGGCGGACUUAUAAGUCAGUGGUGAAAGCCUGUCGCUUAACGAUAGAACUGCCAUUGAUACUGUAAGUCUUGAGUAUAUUUGAGGUAGCUGGAAUAAGUAGUGUAGCGGUGAAAUGCAUAGAUAUUACUUAGAACACCAAUUGCGAAGGCAGGUUACCAAGAUAUAACUGACGCUGAGGGACGAAAGCGUGGGGAGCGAACAGGAUUAGAUACCCUGGUAGUCCACGCCGUAAACGAUGCUAACUCGUUUUUGGGCUUUAGGGUUCAGAGACCAAGCGAAAGUGAUAAGUUAGCCACCUGGGGAGUACGCUCGCAAGAGUGAAACUCAAAGGAAUUGACGGGGGCCCGCACAAGCGGUGGAUUAUGUGGUUUAAUUCGAUGAUACGCGAGGAACCUUACCAAGACUUAAAUGGGAAUUGACAGCUUUAGAAAUAGAGCUUUCUUCGGACAAUUUUCAAGGUGCUGCAUGGUUGUCGUCAGCUCGUGCCGUGAGGUGUUAGGUUAAGUCCUGCAACGAGCGCAACCCCUGUCACUAGUUGCCAUCAUUCAGUUGGGGACUCUAGUGAGACUGCCUACGCAAGUAGAGAGGAAGGUGGGGAUGACGUCAAAUCAUCACGGCCCUUACGUCUUGGGCCACACACGUAAUACAAUGGCCGGUACAGAGGGCAGCUACACAGCGAUGUGAUGCAAAUCUCGAAAGCCGGUCUCAGUUCGGAUUGGGGUCUGCAACUCGACUCUAUGAAGCUGGAAUCGCUAGUAAUCGCGCAUCAGCCAUGGCGCGGUGAAUACGUUCCCGGGCCU
rnacentral:rRNA from 1 species